UAUUACAAAACGGGAUAUUACCGGGAAAGAGUUUUGGCUGUCGUCAGUUCUUUCUCACUCAAGUAGUUCUGUGAGGUUUGAUGAAGCUUUCACUUCAGCGGUGCACUGAAAUUCAUGGAGCGACCUCAGAUCUUAUUCCUGAUUAUCCUCAUUUCCUCACUCUGUUUUAUCGCAGAAUCCGAUCAGUUUUGUGACGCCGGUAUUGGAAUUGAUAAGUCAACAUGUGGUAUAACAUCGUCGUCGAAGCUACUGAUAAAGGGUGGGACUGUUGUGAAUGCUCAUCACCAGGAGGUUGCUGAUGUUUAUGUGGAAGAUGGGAUUAUUGUUGCUGUGAAGCGUAAUAUCAAGGUUGGAGAUGAUGUUGCAGUCGUAGAUGCCACUGGAAAAUAUGUCAUGCCAGGAGGAAUUGACCCUCACACACAUCUAGCUUUCGAGUUCAUGGGUACUGAGACGGUUGAUGACUUCUUCACUGGUCAGGCUGCAGCAUUAGCUGGUGGAACCACAAUGCACAUUGACUUUGUUAUUCCAGUGAAUGGAAGCCUAUCAGCAGGGUUUGAAUCAUAUGUGAAAAAAGCAAAGAAAUCGUGCAUGGAUUAUGGGUUUCAUAUGGCGAUCACAAAAUGGGAUGAAGUUGUUGCACAGGAAAUGGAAAUCAUGGUGAAGGAGAAGGGGAUAAAUUCUUUUAAGUUUUUCUUGGCAUACAAGGGGGCAUUAAUGAUCAGUGAUGAGCUCUUGUUACAAGGAUUGAAGAAGUGCAAAUCUCUUGGUGCCUUGGCCAUGGUACAUGCUGAAAAUGGUGAUGCUGUAUUUGAAGGACAGGAGAGAAUGAUUGAACUUGGUAUAACUGGUCCAGAGGGACACGCUCUUUCACGGCCUGCUGUGUUAGAAGGAGAGGCAACGUCCCGAGCCAUACGUCUGGCUAGUUUUGUGAACACUCCUCUAUAUGUGGUUCAUGUUAUGAGCAUUGAUGCAAUGGAAGAAAUAGCCAAAGCUCGAAAAGCAGGGCAGAAGGUGAUUGGAGAGCCAGUUGUGUCUGGGUUAGUUCUAGAUGAAUCUGGGCUUUGGGAUCCUGACUUUGUCACCGCUGCAAAGUAUGUCAUGAGUCCUCCUAUUAGAUCAUCGGGGCAUGAUAAGGCCCUUCAAGCAGCACUUUCAACUGGAGUUCUGCAGCUUGUGGGAACCGAUCACUGUGUUUUUAAUUCUACACAGAAAUCCAUAGGAAUUGAUGACUUUCGAAAAAUUCCUAAUGGUGUCAAUGGCAUCGAAGAAAGAAUGCAUUUGGUAUGGAAUACGAUGGUGGAAUCUGGUCAAAUAUCUGUCCGUGAUUAUGUUCGAAUCACAAGCACAGAAUGUGCUAGGAUUUUCAAUAUCUAUCCAAAGAAAGGAGCAAUUCUUGCUGGGUCUGAUGCAGACAUAAUUAUACUCAAUCCAAAUGCAAGUUUUGAAAUAUCUUCAAAGCAUCAUCAUUCUAGAACUGACACAAAUGUCUAUGAAGGAAAGAAAGGGAAGGGGAAGGUUGAAGUGACAAUUUCUGGAGGAAAGAUUGUUUGGGAAAACGAUGAGCUAAGGGUUAUUCCAGGUGCUGGGAAGUACAUAGAGAUGCCAGCUUUUAAUUAUUUGUUUGAUGGAAUUUACAAGGCAGAUGCUCAGUACCUGUCCUCGACUCGUGCUCCGGUGAAACGUUUUCAUUCUUCAACUUAAACCUUCAAUCAUCAUAGUUUAUGAAACCGGGUAGAAUAGACGAUAGAUAGUUGUUACAGAUGGAAUAACCGAGAUUGCAUGGCCUGUAUCCACCAUGUAGAUCUAUAGUAACUUCUUUUUUAAGAUACUGGACAGGAUAUCAUGUUAUUACAUAGUUUAUUUACUUUGUUUUCCUCCGUGAAGUAAGAAAAUAAAUUUCAAGGUUCCAUGUUUUAUAAGCUAAAGAGCCUAAACAAGAUGCAGGGAAGGUGAAAUUAUCCAUACGAUGAACGUGUCUCAUUUACAUUACCAUGCCAAGAAAAAAAAGGAUUCAGAAAAACAGCACGAUAUGACUAAAACAUAGAGGAGUGGGUUUCUGUCCCAUAUCAAGGCCUGAUACAACAAUUGAUGUAGAAGGCUAUAAAUGAAGUUGCCACCAUCAUGAAUAGCAUAAAAAUAAUCACCCAUUGAGGAAUAGAUACAGAAUCUGUUCCUCAGCCUUAGUAUCCAACAGAAAAGAAUGGGUGAAAGUACUUACCGGGCCAACAGAGUCAUCUCCUGGUGGUGAUUGAUGAUGAUGUUGGUGGUGAUGGUGUUGGUGUUCAUGGUCAUGGUCAUGGUCAUGGUGGUGGUGGUGGUGAUGGCGAUGGCGAUGACGAUGAUGGCGAUGUUUUUGGUGGCGAUGAUGUUUAUCCACAGCUUCCAUUAACUCCUUUUCAUUCCCUAGGCUGGUUUUUUUGAACUCGGUUAAAUCAGUUUUUUGUUGUUUUCUAUCGGCUCGAGCUUGAGUAAAUACAACAGAAUAAUUGCUUGCUCCUGGCGCAUUGUGAUCCCAACCCCCAAAUUCUGGAACUGACCUCCACCUAUUGUUCUUCAUAAACACACAAAUAUACCAACCAAACUUUUAGUUGCAUAUUCAAAUAGAUUCAUCAUAUUUUUCUUCCUCA